CAGGUACGGGGCGCCCGAGAGGAGGCCAUAGGUGGCUGCGAUUGGCACCGACGUACAGGCCCCAACAAGGACGUGCCAGCGCUUGCAAGUCACGGCUGACUCCGGUGAUCACAAUGAUUUUCCUGAUGAGACUCUUCAUCGCUGCCUUCCUCGGCUAUUUGGCAACAUUUAUCACACCAUGGUUACUCCACAAGGUUGGCUUCGGGAAGACUGGAGUUCGGCCAGCAACCUUAGCCGCCUAUCUCCAGUCGCGACACAAAGGAGCCAUCCCGAAGAACGGGUACUUUGCAGCGCUCCAGCAGUGGGGCAUGGCAGGAGCGCCGACAUUCGUCAGCGUCAUCGUCUUCAUCAUCGCUGCACGCGUGGUCCUCGGCAUAGUGUAGGAGCCCUGCUGAAGAGUUGACCUCGUCCGACGGUGCCUUUCAGAUCUCAGGCCGGCAGCACCUUACAAAUUGUCACUUCGAUGCGUUUUAGGCCGUGCAAAUUGAAGCUCGGGGAGAAUAAAAUUAA